GUGCUCAUUUUUGAUAGCACAAAUACUAAAACUGGAAUGAUACAGAGAAGAUUAGCAUGGCCCCUGCUCAUGGAUGACAUGCAAAUUCCUAAAGUAUUCCAUAUUUUU